AGAGUUUGAUCAUGGCUCAGAACGAACGCUGGCGGCGUGGAUAAGACAUGCAAGUCGGACGAGAUUUCCUUUGGUAGCAAUACCGAGGGACGUCUAGUGGCGAACGGGUGCGUAACACGUGGACAAUCUGCCUUAAAGUGGGGGACAGCUCGGCGAAAGCCGGAUUAAUACCGCAUGUGAUCAGCCAAGACAUCUUGGCGAAAUUAAAGGUGGCGCAAGCUACCGCUUUUUGAGGAGUCCGCGGCCUAUCAGCUAGUUGGUGAGGUAACGGCUCACCAAGGCUUUGACGGGUAGCUGGUCUGAGAGGACGACCAGCCACACUGGAACUGAGACACGGUCCAGACACCUACGGGUGGCAGCAGUCGAGAAUUUUUCUCAAUGGGGGAAACCCUGAAGGAGCGACGCCGCGUGGAGGAUGAAGGUCUUCGGGUUGUAAACUCCUGUCAUUUGGGAACAAUGCUUACGUAUUAACUGUACGUGAGUUGAUAGUACCAGAAGAGGAAGAGACGGCUAACUCUGUGCCAGCAGCCGCGGUAAUACAGAGGUCUCAAGCGUUGUUCGGAUUCAUUGGGCGUAAAGGGUGCGUAGGCGGCGCGGUAAGUCGGGUGUGAAAUUUCGGAGCUUAACUCCGAAACUGCAUUCGAUACUGCCGUGCUUGAGGACUGGAGAGGAGACUGGAAUUUACGGUGUAGCAGUGAAAUGCGUAGAGAUCGUAAGGAAGACCAGUGGCGAAGGCGGGUCUCUGGACAGUUCCUGACGCUGAGGCACGAAGGCCAGGGGAGCAAACGGGAUUAGAUACCCCCGUAGUCC
rnacentral:rRNA from 1 species